GGGGCUGCACCGGUUUCGACGUGGGUUCGGACGCGCGGCAGGGCAUGUCGAGGUUUCAGUUCCUCGUAAAACCGCUGGAAACUAAAGUAACUGCCACAAACAGCUACUCCGGUAUGGCCGCUGCGAACGAAUCUUCGUUCGCAAUGGCUGCUUAACUAAACACUAAGCAACCGCUCCGCACCAAUUCGUCGAUGGGUUGGGGCUAACAACGCAAGUUGAAGGCUGCGGAGUCAUUCACAUCGGCUGGUCUUGAUCCGGGCGCCUUGGAUCGGGACGAGAAAAUAGGACGCUGGCGUCCUGGGUAGCGUGCGACUGCGCGACCCAGGAGGCGAGACUCAAAUCAGACCGCUAAACAUGUAGAACUGUGCGAAGAAGGCUUGCGGACGCGGGUUCAAUUCCCGCCAGCUCCACCA
rnacentral:tmRNA from 1 species